ensembl:lncRNA
CGCUGGCUGUGCCCAGGCACUGCCUUGGGGUAGGCAGGAGCUGGCAGGAAGGCUCAGCAUGCGCAGGCUCUGACUUCUGUAAAGCAGAUGGAGGGUGUGCUUGCGUGAGCCUUCAGUUAAGCCUUGUUCUAGAGAGUAAUUAAGCCUUUCCCUUGAUUGGCUUUAGACGUGUUUCUUGAACGCUGCGGUGCUUCUGCCCUGGGAUUUGCGAUCUGACCCGAACUCUGUACUCAGCUCCUGUGCAGCUCAGCUUGGCGUGGGUUCUCCAAAAUCCAGCUUCGAGGUGCCCUUACUGCGUGGAAUAGACCCCCCCAGGAAGCUGGGGGCACCUCGCAGCCUCUUGGUACAGCUCAGCACUGCUGGCUGCCCAGGGCACGCUGCAGAAGACUGCUGGCAGAAACAGAAUUGUCGUUGCUGAGGUCAACUGGGAGCCACACAAAUUGCUGGGCAAUUGGGAUUCGCGUCACGAGCUUUCCUGCAUAGUCACCCUGAUCCCCGGGGUGGAUUUCCUCCCCGUCCUGGCACAGGAGCCAAUGCAUAAGGGUCUGUGCAUCCACCCUCCUGCCCUCUAACCGUGACCCAGGGCUCAAGGAUGUGACAGCAUACACCUCGUGCCUGUUUCUCUCUAUGAUCCCUGGAAGGCACAGCUGGGUGACGUAGCACGGGGGGGAUGCUGGUAAUGGGGCCUGCCUCCAGCAGCUUUGGCCUCUGCCAUCAGGAUGUGGUCUGCCACCGGAGGUCGUGGGACCAGAGAAUGCAGGAGGAGAUGCCAUGGGAAGGUGCUGGCAGCUCUGGCAUGCCCCGGCUAUGUGCAGGCGGUGUGUCCCACCGGGAAAGGUGGGUACCUCUCAGCUAAGGAAGUAACGGGCUGUGAACUCAGUGCUGAGGGUGGUGCCGGUCAAACUCCGCAUGGACGGUCUGGGGGAUGGGGCACCCUCAGCACAACCGCAGCUGACAAACCUGGGAGCAUUGGCUGCUGAUACACCGAAGGGCGGUGCUGCCAUCCAGAGGGACCGGAGAGGUGGGAUGGUGGGAACCUCCUGGAGCUGAGCGAGGAGAAGAGCGGAGUCCUGUCCUCGGGAGGAACAAGGCCAGGCAUUGGGAUGUCCCGGAGCGCAGCGUUACGGAGACGGAGGUGCUGGUCCUGGGGGACACCUGGUGGACAGCCCGGCGUCAGCCCCGGGACGCUCCGAGCAGCGAAUCCCACCGGUGAGCAUCCCGAGUCGUGCAGGGGCGGCCGUACCGCGGGAUGGUGCUGCGGUGCCUCUGAGCGCGGCCCACGGGGCGGCGGCAGCAGCCGGUAAGGCUCGCUUGGAUCGGCUCGGCCCUGCACGACGCGGCG